GACAGUUCAGAUGCAGACAAUAGGGAAUAUGGAAACUUUAUUAUCCUCACAGAAGUAAAAAGUACAGGGAACUGAAAAAUUCACAAUAGCACCUCACCCUGGUGAACAGCUUUAUCAUGGUCACUGAAUGAUAUAAAAAUAUCCCCUAUGUCGGAUCCCUCCCUGUUUAAUGUCAGAACAUGUACACUGUACACCCUACUUCAUACCUGUGUUAAUUUCAGCUAUAGUGGCAAAAUUACAUUCAUUCAUUUGUCCUGGACAAAAAACAAUAGAUGCAAAUCUGUGUUUUUGUUCUCUUUGAAGAUCUGCCAACAUCCUUUCCAAAAAUUAUCUCUGUUUGUUAACAAACCGCCUGCAAUUCUAGUUUGUAAUGUUUCUGUAAUUUGUUUCUAUACUUAAUCCCUAUGUCUGAAGACUAGUAGAGUAAGGGUCCACUGUUUUUAUAUAGUGUGCGAGUAGAUGAAGAACACACUCUGUCACAGAGACAAAUUUGAAUAAAUGUAAUUCGGCACAUUCUGUUCACAUUAUUGUAUGGCAUCUUCUCUUAAGGGUUCUAUGCAAAAUUUCACAAAUCAUUGAAAAGUACAUGUGAAUUAAGUCAUGAUUCUAUGCUUGUCAGAAAGCUAUGUAAAUAUAGUCCCGUUGGGCAUUAGCCAUUUCUGAAUUUACCUCCUAACAGUGUGCUGACUUUUAGCACAUUGUGAACUACCUUCUUGAUGUAGCAGUAACAAAACUACUGCAUUACUGCACUGGUAUGCUAGGGUGUACAGGGCCAACUCUUUCUUGUCUAGAGCUUGGUCAGCUGGUUACCAGUAGUUCUCAUGUAUACUUAAUAAGGACACCACACCAUGUAAAAUGGACAUAAGACUACCUACAAUAAAUACAGCCUUACUUAAGAUGGACUAAGGUGACUAGAGGAGUGACAAAUCCAACACUUAAAUCUAUUUUACUACGACUACAGGGACAAGAUGCUCAGUUCUUAUCGGCAAGUGGUAGGCGGAAGGGUAUAAUUCGAAGUGGUCUGUGUAGUGUUGAGGUUGCUGAGAUUCAAACAUAAAAGAAUGGUAAGAAAAGAUUAGAAGCAAAAUUGAGCAUCAUGUCCCACUAUCCUACGUAUAACUUUAAAAACCAAAAGCUCUCUGUAUAAUGUACACCAAUUACAAGACUUCAUCCUUGAUUAUCUAAUUAAACAAAAACUUGAAAUUACAUAGCUAUACCCUGGGUUUUAUGACCCAUCCAGUAAGAAUGUGCCCCAUAAAUAUGAAAUUAUUAUAAUUUCAUGAUGACCAUAAUUUCACAACAUCUACUUUCCAUGUGUAGCAUGACAGGGGUAUCAUACCAUGCCAGUCUCUACAUUUCCUCAAAACGUAUAAAAAAGCCCCCAAAAUUUAAAAGUGUGAUUGCCAAAUUUGCAUCAAGUCAAAAAGAUUCAGUAAAUAACACAAUACUCUGCCAAGGUACUAAAAAAAACUACAAGAGUAAAAAAUAUACCACCCCCAUUACAUGUGUAUAUUUUUGCCAUUUUACCAAAAUAUGAUUAUGCAAUUUCAUACAUACACACAGAAGAGAAAAACAACCCAAAAAAUCUUAAUUAAUCAAAGUUCAAUACAACUUAAAAGCUUGCAUUUGUUAUCUGAAGGGUCUUGGGUGGGAACUUGUAUUGCAAAAUCAGCAGUUACUUCUUCUAUCUUAUGUUACGGAAGACAACGGUUUAUGCAACAUGUUUCACCAGAGAACUUUCUUGCUUUAGGAUAUAAAGAUGAAUAUGUUAUGAUAUACAUGGCUUAUAAGGAAAUUGGUGGUCCCGUAGCUCACAAAGACUGGCUGUGUCUCUAAAAUAGCAAUAUACAGAUGGCUGGAGACUAAACCUCCACGGAGAAAGCAAAGACAUUUUCUGAAGUGAAUGUACAGCUUGGUUCAUCAUUGAGCCCACAGAUGGUCUCGAACAAUGUUUAAUAUUUCACUACCUUUAGACUAAGGCUACUUAUGAGACAGCUGACAAUAGAAAUGUGUUCUGCGCUUGUAGAGAGAUGCCUCAUACCGUUUCUUAAUCUCAAAAGUUCAUCAAAUAAA